rnacentral:rRNA from 1 species
AGGGUAUAGCACUGAAUAUCUCGAGGGAGUAUGAAAAUAUUUAUCUCAGAUAUUUAAUCUCAAAAUAACUAUUUCUUAAAAUAAAUAAUCAGACUAUGUGGCGAUAAGCUAGAUAGU